GCCACUGAAGCGCACACCCAGAACAUGAAGACCACGAUCACCACCGCCCUCACCCACGGCUUCAUCAGGAACGGCGCGUACGUCGACUCGAACACCUGCGGGAGAGGGCGGGGAGGGGGAGGUGAUUUUAUGAGGGAAAUAUUAUAAAGGGAGGUAAUACUGAAGGGAGGAAAGAUUAAGAGGGAGAUGAUUUUAUGAGGGAAAUAUUAUAAAGGGAGGUAAUACUGAAGGGAGGGCAGAUCAAGGGAGAUACUAAUUGGAAAAAUGCAUGUUGUUUUAAGUAUCUGGGAGGAGGGAACGUACUAUCUUAAGGGAAUAUUUUUAAAAAGGAAGAUAAUAUUAAAAUGAGAAGCAUACAUGUUAUCCCGAAUACCUAGAGGGCAAGGGGUAAUAUUAUGAACUACUGACAAAAGGUAGAUACAUAACACUAUAAGAUAAAAUUACAAUAUAUCAUGAAACA